GAUGAACGCUGGCGGCGUGCCUAAUACAUGCAAGUCGAGCGAACAGACGAGGAGCUUGCUCCUCUGACGUUAGCGGCGGACGUGUGAGUAACACGUGUAUAACCCACCUAUAAGACUGGGAUCACUUCGGGAAACCGGAGCUUAUACCGGAUAAUCUCUUGCACCGCAUGGUUCAAUAGUGAAAUACGGUUUUUCUGUCACUUAUAGAUGGAUCCGCGCCGCAUUAGCUAGUUGGUAAGGUAACGGCUUACCAAGGCAACGAUGCGUAGCCGACCUGAGAGAGUGGUCGGCCACACGGGAGCUGAGACACGGUCCAGACGCCUACGGGAGGCAGCAGUAUGGAAUCUUCCGCAAUGGGGGAGAGCCUGACGGAGCAACGGCGCGUGAGUGAUGAAGGUCUUCGGAGCGUAAAACUCUGUUAUGAGGGAAGAACAAAUGUGUAAGGAACUAUGCACGGCUUGACGGUAACUAAUCAGAAAGCCACGGCUAACUACGUG
rnacentral:rRNA from 1 species